CUUAGAUUAAUCAUUAACAGGCUCCCAGCUCAGCCAGCUCCAGUGGCCUGCCUUCUCCAGCCCCACCCAUCCCACCUUCAGGGAACCCUGGAAAGGGGUGGGGAGUAUAGAGAAGAAACUGAGGACAGGGCGAGCCGACCCUGGCCCCAGCUCGGUCAUCCUCUGGCCGUGGGCAGGUGCAUUCCACCUCCGGAGCAGUGGCUGGACCUACAGUGACUGCCUCAGGAACACACCUGCUGCCUACAGAGCUAGCACAGCAGACGGGGAGCUCUGGUUUUGGCUAAAGUGAGGAUGAAGUGGGACCAGGACACUGCCACCAGGUAUGUGCAAAUCCAGGCACUAGGUUUUUUUCUUGUGCAGUUUUUCCAUUUGUGCCUUCCAACAGCUGUCUGUCACAGGCUGGACAGGGACAAUCAUCUCUGAACGUCACCACACGGACCUUUGGGCCAGGCUGCUCUGGGUUGAGACUAUUCUGUGCACUGCAGGUUAUUCGGCAGUAGCCUUGGCCACCAGAUCCUUCACCCAAGUCGUGAGGACCCAGAGAGCCUCCAGGUGACGUCCUGAGGGACACCACCCCAGUUAAGAAUCACCAUUUUACAGACCAGCUCCAUGGCAAAGUGGUAAUGUACUGUUCAAGAGAAGCUGGAUCCCACAUGGCAACUGUGGUUCAAAUCCCCAGCUCCGUCAGCCUGAAACAAGCUGGGUGUGUUUCUGAGCACCUGUGUUCUAACAGGCUGGAGGGCUGGGGGAAAGACAGUGUGACUGGACUCUGCAGAGGGUGCUUCUCUCUCUCUCUUUCACUUCACACUCACAUGCAUAGAAUGUACUCUAUCAUGAACAAAGAGAAAGAGUCUUCAAAAACCACAAUGUCAGCCGACGAACAAGGGAAGGUCAGGCAAGGAGAGGUUAAGAUCAGAGGUCUAGUCACACCUUCCGGGUCUCACCAGGUACAUGUACAGGCUCAGAGCUCUGGCCCCCCACCACAGGGCCUCUGCACUUGCUUUUGCCCCUGUGAACUGUGCUUCCCCUGGCUGGCUCAAAUGUCUCCACGUCUCCUCUCAGAGAGUCCUCCUCCGACGAGCCUGGUUCCCUUCACACUAUUCAUAUCCCUGUGGCACUCGCUGUAACUUGUAAUCAUUAUUGUGAUCUGUCAAUUUGCUGUUUGGUCUGGCUCCCCAAAAAGGAUGAAGCAGUUUAGACGGGAUACUGGUCUUGCCCCAGCUGUAUGCCCGGAACUAGGACAGCGCCCAGCACUAAAUGAACAGACAGCAGUGUUCUGGGAGCGCCUG